rnacentral:rRNA from 1 species
UCCUACGGGUGGCUGCAGCUAAGAAUAUUCCGCAAUGGACGAAAGUCUGACGGAGCGACGCCGCGUGGAUGAAGAAGGCCGAAAGGUUGUAAAAUCCUUUUGCUGGGGAAGAAUAAGUCUGGGAGGGAAUGCCCGGAUGAUGACAUGAACCGGCGAAUAAGCCCCGGCCAACUACGUGCCAGCAGCCGCGGUAACACGUAGGGGGCGAGCGUUGUUCGGAAUUACUGGGCGUAAAGGGCAUGUAGGCGGCCUUGUAAGCUUGGCGUGAAAGUCCACGGCUCAACCGUGGGAAUGCGUUGAGAACUGCGAGGCUUGAGUGACGGAGAGGGAGCUAGAAUUCCUGGUGUAGGGGUGGAAUCUGUAGAGAUCAGGAAGAAUACCAAUGGCGAAGGCAAGCUCCUGGCCGAUGACUGACGCUGAGGUGCGAAAGUGUGGGGAUCAAACAGGAUUAGAUACCCCUGUAGUCGA